GGUUGAAAACUAACAAGGAUUAAUUAUAAAAGAUCCCUAAACUAGGAGGUCAUAUUCAAUUACAUACCCAACUAUCAAAUUUCUUCGAGUUCGACGCCGUUAACAACUUCAUACCACUAACGUGGCAGUAGUGAGUAGCCCUAGUUUAAAGGCAAUUGCGUCAUUUCGAUAUUGCAGUCAAACAAAACUAUUAUGGGGGUUCGAACCUGAGUACCUAGUUUGAGUGACAAAAACCCAAACCACUACGCCAAAGUCUUGCAUUGGUAAUUGUGAGACAUGGAUUCAUAUCUAUAUUGUAUUUCAUUCACAAUUUAAUUUCUUGUUUUAAAAAAUAUAUAAAAUUCUUAUUCAAAAUAAAAAACGAAUAUAUAAAAUUCAGAUGAGUAUUGUGGUUGUUAAACUAGAAUGACAUAUAUAUAUAUAUAUAUAUAUAUUCUGAUGCAUCAUAUAUAUACUUCUUUUCUUUUUUUUGAGAGAAAAUAUAUUAUAUAAUCAACUAUAGAGGGUAUUCAAGCCUUUAUAUUUGCAACCCUAACUGCUAAUGAAACGAUUAGCAUAAUAUAUUUACAAAUAUAUAUUUACAUUUUACAGUUUAAUUUGGUGAAUAAAAGGAAGUGAAUGUAAAUAUGCAACCCUAACUGCUAAUGAGACAUGCAUAAUAAUUUGUAAAUAUGUUUAAUUUCUUGUUGUAUAUAAUGAAACAUAUAUAUUGAAAAAAUAUAUAUGUUUAUCCAUGUCUCACCUUUAUCAUUGCAAGACUUGGGGCAGCGGUUUGGGCUUUUAUCACUCACAGUAGGUACCCAGGUUCGAACCCCCGUGGGUUGUAAUAAUUUUGUUUGACUUCAAUACUGAAAUGACGUAAUUGCCCUUAUAUUAGGGCAGCUGACUGCCAUAUCAGUAGUUAACGGUGGCUUCUAACGGACAUGUAUGAAGUUGUUAAUGCUGUCGAACUUCUGGUAUCAAAACGAAGAAAUUUGAUAAAUAGGUACGUAAUUGAAGAUGACCUCAUAGUUUAGGGGGUCUAUUAUUUGAUGUUAAAGUGUAUGCGAAAAAUAUAUUGACUAAAAGCAUGGAGCAUAGCUGGAACAACAAUAAAUAAAAAUAAAAAUAUUAAUAAUAGAGAUGAGUUUUCAGUCACUAAAGAUAGCAUAGUUUGUCAUUCGUAGACAUAAAAAUUAAAAAGAAAAA
rnacentral:lncRNA from 1 species